AUGGGAAGGGGAACCAUGGUUCACCAUCAUGGAUGUCCGAGCAGUUGAAUGUGGUAUUGCUUAGUUCAAUACCACGUUCACUAAAAUUGAGGUUUGUUCAGUUUAGCCUUGAAGACCUUUCUUGCCAUAGUGUCCAGAUCCUUAUGUAACAUGUUACAGCAAGAGUCUACAUGAAUCAUCAGGGAAGAGUCAGAUCUGGUUGCCAUGUCUGGACAUUAUUGCUGCUUUGGAACCACGCAAUCCUGAACAAAGACUUUGUACAGAUGGUUGUGAUACUGAAAAAGACACUGUACUGGCAGAUACCUUCAGACUGGCAGCUCAAGAAGCCUUCCAAGUGAUGCAGAUCAUGAAGUUCUGCAUCUGCCUUUGAGACUUGUCACUCAGACAUCAAUUUUUUAAAACUAUUUUUGGCUGACUUUUGCUCCCCCCCUCAUCCUUGGAAUCAGUGGGAGCUAGGUGCCUAAAUGCCUUUGAGGAUCUGGGCCAAAGUGUGUUUGUUCAGUUUAUGGGUACUUGUGGUAUGAACAGAUGUCACGUGGUGAUUAGUAGGAGGCUAUCAAACUCUUUUUCACUGCUAUACUUGUGACCUAGUUCAAGAGGUGACUGAUAAGUGCUUGAAAUUGGUUUAUUAAAAAUAAUUGAGCAAAAUUACAUUUUAGCAUAAUUUGGCAAAAAAUAAGUAAGGCUUUCACAAUGGGGGACCUUAUGGCUUAAUUUGAAAGUGCUCCUCAUUUCUGUAUCUUGGUGUGAUGACUUUGGCUGCAUGGGAUUUUUUGAUCUGGGGAAAAGUGGGGGGGAAAAUCAGACUGGUAAACUUGAACUGUUCAUCUAAAUUACAGUGUUUUGUAUAAAAAAUGUUUUUAAACACAUUUUGCCUGAUUUGCACACAGCUUAGUAAAAUUACUUACUUGGAAGCUAAAAUUGUGUGUCCUUUUUCUCUUCCUACCUCACUCUUGUGACUCUUGCUCUGUAGGACGUCAAUAGGAAAUUGAAAAUGGAUGCAUGCAUCUUAAUUAUUACAGUUUAUCAUAUGUUUCCCUCAGAGUAAUUACUAAUAUGUGAUGGUUGAGUUACAUAAGCCUUGAUAUGAAAACAACAAUAUAAUCAUUUCCAGCUACAUUGAGUCUUUUAUAGAAGAUUAGACUAAUUCUUAAACAAAAUCCAGAUAUUAAAUUAAGAUUGAAAUCAAUGAGGGAUUUAAAGAGCUCAAAUUGUUCAGCUUGUCAAAAAGAAGAUCAAGUGGUGAGUUGAUUACGAUGUAUAAAGUACCUUCACGGGGAGAAAAUACCAGGUACUAAAGGGCUCUAAUCUAGAAGAAAAGAGCAUUACAAGAACUAAUGGCUGGAAGUUAAAGCCAGACAAAUGCAAAUUAGAAAUAAGGCACACAUUUUUAAUAGGGGAUGAUCCAUUGAAACAAACUACCAAGGGAAAUUGUGGAUUCUCUGUCUCUUGAUGUCUUCAAACCAAGAUUGGAUGAUUUCUGGAACACAAGUUGUUGGGUUCAAUACAGGAUUAACUGGGUGAAAUCCAAGACUUAUGUUUAUACAGAAGGUCACAGUAGAUCUGAUGGUCCUUACUGGCCUUAAAAUCUAGUGACUGAAUUUGACUACAAUAACCUUCUUUAAAACUCUGUCAAGGUGAGCAACACUGUGUUUGUUUCUGGUUGAGUGAGUAAUAUUUUUACUUGAUUAUUCUCAAUAUAAGUGUGAGCGAGCAGGUGAAUUUUAAUAACAGCUUUGUGAAGCUGGAACUCCCACAAUAUAAUGAG